rnacentral:tRNA from 1 species
AUCAUUAGUAUAUAUAGUACAAAAAUUUGCAAAAUUUUUAGAUAAUUGGUUUUA